rnacentral:rRNA from 1 species
CAGUAGCCGCGGGAAUACGUAGGCGGCAAGCGUUGUCCGGAAUUAUUGGGCGUAAAGGGCUCGCAGGCGGUUUCUUAAGUCUGAUGUGAAAGCCCCCGGCUCAACCGGGGAGGGUCAUUGGAAACUGGGAAACUUGAGUGCAGAAGAGGAGAGUGGAAUUCCACGUGUAGCGGUGAAAUGCGUAGAGAUGUGGAGGAACACCAGUGGCGAAGGCGACUCUCUGGUCUGUAACUGACGCUGAGGAGCGAAAGCGUGGGGAGCGAACAGGAUUAGAUACCCCAGUAGUCCCUGUCUCUUAUAC